GAAGCGGGAAGAGCUCAAAUUUAUAAUCUGGCACCUUCGGUGUCCGAGUUGUAAUCUCUAGAAGUGUUUUCCGCGUUGGACCGCACACAAGUCUGUUGGAAUACAGCGGCAUAGUGGUGAGACCCCCGUAUAUGGUGCGGACGCCCAACGCUUUGUGAUACACUUUCGAAGAGUCGAGUUGUUUGGGAAUGCAGCUCAAAUUGGGUGGUAAAUUCCAUCUAAAGCUAAAUAUUGGCGAGAGACCGAUAGCGAACAAGUACCGUGAGGGAAAGAUGAAAAGCACUUUGGAAAGAGAGUUAACAGUACGUGAAAUUGUUGGAAGGGAAACGCUUGAAGUCAGACUUGCUUGCCGAGCAAUCGGUUUGCAGGCCAGCAUCAGUUUUCCGGGGUGGAUAAUGGUAGAGAGAAGGUAGCAGUUUCGGCUGUGUUAUAGCUCUUUGCUGGAUACACCUUGGGGGACUGAGGAACGCAGUGUGCCUUACGGCGGAUUUCUCGAGAUCUUCACACUUAGGAUGCUGGUGGAAUGGCUUUAAACGACCCGUCUUG
rnacentral:rRNA from 1 species